CCUACGGGGGGCUGCAGUGGGGAAUAUUGCACAAUGGGCGCAAGCCUGAUGCAGCCAUGCCGCGUGUGUGAAGAAGGCCUUCGGGUUGUAAAGCACUUUCAGCGGGGAGGAAGGCGGUGAGGUUAAUAACCUCAUCGAUUGACGUUACCCGCAGAAGAAGCACCGGCUAACUCCGUGCCAGCAGCCGCGGUAAUACGGAGGGUGCAAGCGUUAAUCGGAAUUACUGGGCGUAAAGCGCACGCAGGCGGUCUGUCAAGUCGGAUGUGAAAUCCCCGGGCUCAACCUGGGAACUGCAUUCGAAACUGGCAGGCUAGAGUCUUGUAGAGGGGGGUAGAAUUCCAGGUGUAGCGGUGAAAUGCGUAGAGAUCUGGAGGAAUACCGGUGGCGAAGGCGGCCCCCUGGACAAAGACUGACGCUCAGGUGCGAAAGCGUGGGGGGCAAACAGGAUUAGAUACCCUUGUAGUC
rnacentral:rRNA from 1 species